rnacentral:lncRNA from 1 species
CCAAUCUCACGCCACCACGUGGCAUCCUAGUUGGCCAUUUUUUUAUUUUCCCUCCUUUUCUUUUCUUUUCUUAUUUUUCUUUUUCCUUUUUUCUAGGUGUGCCUCCUCAUCUCUUAUUUCUGAGCUUCAUCGCCGUCGCACCAUUUUCUUUCACUUUCCUCCCAUCCAAACACCCACCACUUCAUUAUCGUUUUCUUUCACUUUCCUCCUAUCCAAACACCGACCACUUCAUUCCUAGCAACAGCGAAG